CUGACAUCAGGUAAUAAUUAAUAUAGAGUUUUUGUAGUAUUAUUAAGGAAUUAAAUAUAUAGUUUUCACAUUAACAUUUUCAUUUUAUCCUGUCUAUGGGUAUUAGACAUUGUUCUAAUUAGCUUGUACACAAAUAGAAGGCAGCUUAUUGUCCACAUAUUUUGCUCUGCAAGAGGCAGCUCCCUCCAUUAACUGAAGCUUACUUUUCUAUUCUCUGCUGUUACUUAACGAGGAUGGUAAUAGAUGGGAAUAUAAGGGAUAAACCAUCUUCAUCUUCCCCAUUGGUUGUCUCAGCUUGCAGGCCCAGACUCAUUCUGCUUGAACCUGAACCUCUCAAGCCCAACCUUAAAGCCAAUGGUCUUUAUGUCUUGCUGCACUUGUGCCUGGAAAUCACUGUAAGUGAAAGGCUUGUACUUAGAGCUUUGUAUCACACUCCCUUCAGCUGGGAAAACGAAGUAGCAGAUUGAAUACCGCUCCCCAUAUUUGUUUGGCUUCACUCUGUGUUUAACACUCUUAUAUUCAUCGUUGCUUAUGGCCUGCAACAUAUCUCCAAGGUUGAGAAUGAGCGUAUCAGGAAUGGGCUCAAUCUGGAACCAUUUAUCAUCCUUGAAAUGUUCAAAUCCACCAACUUGUUCCUGGUUCAAUAUGGAAAGUACUGAGCUGUCUGUGUGAGCUUCCAUCCCCCAUGUCUCAUUAGCUACAAAGCACUGAGGGUAUCGAUAAACGCGAAUAAAUCCUGUGGAUUCUGACAAGUAAGACUUGGAUUGCUCAGGAUUCAGAUUGAGGGUAUUGACCAUUGCUUGGAAUAUGGUGGAGGCAAUUCGAGCCAGGUGCCUUCCAUAUUCUUCCAACAGAAGUCUGAAAGAAUCAAUUGUAGGAUCUUCAGCUUGAAACUGAGAGAGUUGACCGAGAGGAACAUUGAAACCUUCCACCCAGUUGAUAUUCUGGGGGCCUCUUGACAGGGAAUCCCCAGAUGGGGUAAGAGCAGGGGUGCCCCAGAAGUAGGACAUUGGGCUACUGAUCACCAGUGCUUCUUUGGAUUCGAAAGAAAGAGAGAAAAUCUUCUUGGAAUGAUCUUGAAGUUGUCUCAGAAGGGUUAAAGGAAUCCCAUGGUUGACCAAACGAAACAGGCCCCAGUGUUUACAAGCCUCUCCAAGCUCAUCCAGGUUGAGGCACUGGAGAUCUAUAAGAGGGAUAGGAUCAUACUCUUGAAUCGACUCUUUGGCGAUAUCAUCAAGGUCGGAGCUUUGAGCUUGAGCUUGAGCUUGAACGUGAGGGCUUUCGCUUUGUUGGCGAAACACAGGUGGGUAGGAUUCAAGGUUCAUUUCAGACAUAAUUUUUUUUUUUACACUAACACGGCAACACCCUCUUGAGUUGCUCCUCGAUCAAUGAUAUCACAGCUACCAAACGCAAUGGAAUAUAAAAUAUAUAGG
rnacentral:misc_RNA from 1 species